AUGCACUCCCUUCUUUUGAGACCAUCUCAAGUAUCUCUGGCAGACAGAGGUUUAAAGAAACAUGAGCACUCCUUCACUAACCACGGCAUCAGAGGAAAAACUCCCGAUAAGCAGAUGUUGCUUAGGCAGCGCUCAGCUAGGCAGUGCGUGCAUAUGAGCGAAAGAGAUGGAGAUACAGGCAGACACUGCAGUGAGUGUGUGUGGCUGCAAGCAGUGGGAAAUGUUUGUGUGUGUACAUUUGUGUGUAUGAGAAAACACAUGAGCAAAACUGAGCUGCUCCAGUGAGCAUUUUGUGUGUGUCUUUAAGAGAAGGCAAAGUGAAACAGCCAAGGGAGAGAGUCUGAAAAGAAGAGGAAGGAAUGACCAGGUAAUGGCAUGGCUGGAAUAACAGCAGUGCAAGGUAAGAGAUCUAGGCAUCAGGGAAAUCAUUUAAAGCCAUAUUGAUUUGCUUCAGAGGUCAGAAAAAGCAGAUGCACUCGCUACUGUGGAAAGGCUCUGACAGCAGCCACAGCCUCUUGUUUUCCUUUUCCUUUUUUUUUUUUUUUUCUUUUCUUUUCUUUCUUUUUACUGAUGUGGAGUCACUGAAAAACUGUGAUGCAAAACCAACAGAGGCCGUCUCCUUGCCACCUCCACCUCUCCCCCCGGACCAGGAACCACAAUCUCCGCAUGCCUGCAGAAGGGAUGCGCGCCCAGCGAGGAGGCAGGCGAGCCCUCAGGCAGCAGGGAGAGCGUGAGAGGGAAAGAGGGAGGGGAAGGGAUCAAUGGCUGAACAGCAGCUCUGGCCGUUUCCCGUAGCUCUGAUGCCGUGAUGAGCUGCAGAGCAUUUGGAGCCAGCUGCUGCAGGAAAGGCACACAUCUGGUCCAUCCAUCCAUCCAUCCACCAGCAUCCCUGGGUUGGGAAAGGCUUCCGCAGCACCAGCCUGCAAUGGUGUAAAGCAAAGUUACAAAGGGAAGGCAGAUCAAACACUCUGUAUUCCUCCUUGCAUCUAGAAUAUUGAAGGGAAAUGGGACAUGACGUAAGAAAAUGCAGAGUUUCAUCAUUGUGCAGGAAAUUCUACAUUUUGGAGAAAAAAGAGGGGUGUUUGUUUACAUGUAAAUACUGUCAGGUUUUUCUUUCAGUGGCUGCAGUGAAGAAAUCACUGGGCCUUGCUCUUUAGAGUUGUGCAUCUACAUUAAUCCAGCUGGUCCUUCAUAUAUUUGUGCAGUGAUACAACUGUAGAAUUAAUACAGAGACACUGUAGCAGAGAUGUUCAAAACACCGCUUUUCCAGAAAAAGCAAGUACGU
rnacentral:lncRNA from 1 species